rnacentral:rRNA from 1 species
AGCUCCAAUAGCGUAUAUUAAAGUUGUUGCAGUUAAAAAGCUCGUAGUUGGAUUUCUGGUGUGAGGGAACGGUCCGACCUCUGGUGGGUACUUGCUUCCUCUCACACCAUCCUUGAGUGGUGCAUUCUGGCAUUCAGUUGUCGGGACGUUAGCCGCUCAUCGUUUACUGUGAGAAAAUUAGAGUGUUCAAAGCAGGCUUAUGCCAUUGAAUAUAUUAGCAUGGAAUAAUAAGAUAGGACUUCGGUACUAUUUUGUUGGUUUGCGCACCGAUGUAAUGAUCAAUAGGGACAGUUGGGGGUAUUCGUAUUCAGUUGUCAGAGGUGAAAUUCUUAGAUUUACGGAAGACGAACUACUGCAAAAGCAUUUACCAAGGAUGUUUUCA